AUGGACCAGGGCUAUUUAAAAAUACAAGAUAUCUUCAUCCCAAUUAGCCAAUCCCGUCAAACUAAUCAACGGUUUUGCCGUUGCUUUCCGAUGGUUUUGUCCUUGUACGGCACAUGCACUGGUCAAGCAUUUCUUCCUGUUCACACGCAUGCAACGACCAGGAGGAAGAAGAAGAAGAUGACGCCGCUUAGUCAGAUACAAGCCAAAUUAGCUAAUCAAAGGGGAGUAACUGCAGACACCGCGGCGACUGGACUUUCAGUUUCAUCUCGUGUGCGAUUAUGCCGGCAUCAUGCGGUGACGACGUUUGUGGUCUACACUAGUUGUGUAUUCUGGUUUCAGUUUGGAGCUCUAUAUCCCCGCUGCAUGGGAACACGGAUGGAGCACACCUGUACACGUAGGAUGCAGCUUUCUAGCCAGCCAGCGUCGAAUCAUGUGUGUACAUUGGUUUGCUGCGACGUGAAUCGUUUUCCUCCUGUCCUGGCGGCUGGAACCCUAGCCGCCGCCAGGAGACCCAAUCUUCCAGCGUCGUCCUCCGGCGGCUCCCCUUCGCCGGCGACCUCGGUCGUCGGUGCGCUGAAUAAAGAUUCUUCGGAUCCUUCCUUAACAAGGCCAUUGGUCCCAUGGUUGGGGAUGAAUUUGGAAACCAGUCUGUUCAAACAAGGAUGGCGUCAGGGCGGCGGCAUCCUCGUGGUGGACCUGUGUCCUCGGGCUCCGCCGUUGCGACGACGUUUGCUCCAGCGUCGGCACGGAGCUUGGGAGGUAGUGCAGGAGCGGAUGCAGAUUGUGGUCUGCAUCGACGACAUCUGGAAGACGGAACAUGUGUUGGGUACGUGGUUCGUGGAUGACAGGUAUGAUUUUCUUCCGCGAUGUCUUAUUCGCCGUGGGGUGCCAGAUCUGGAGUUCGAUGGCGUGUCCGGGGUGUUGCCCCGGUCUGACUCGUUCAACGGUAAGGGCUUCACUUUUGGUGAGCCACCUUGGAGGUCCGCAAAGCUGCAUAUCAGCGAUGGAGCCGCGUCGAGCUCGGGUGAGGAGGUGAUCCAUCAUUCUUUUCUUCGGUGGCUGCUGUCGUGGUGCCGGAGGCAGCCAGCCAGCGUCGCCGAGUCAACCAAGCGCGUAACUGACAUCCACCACUGGUGCCGUGGUACGUACGCGCCUACACAUGGCUGCGGUGCAUAUGGCCCCGCCAGCCUGCCACUGGUCUAUCCGAACCUGAAUCCUGAUAUGCAAACAGCACUGGACGGAUACGGUGAAUCAGGAUAUGGGCAGACUUUGUUUACUUUGCUGCCGGCUAAGAAAACCCUAUGUGCCGCUCUCUGGGUCGAAAGUGUUGGGUGCUCGCACAGUCCAAGAGACAAUCAUGGUCAGGGAGCCAUCGCCUUUCUAUCGGGGUUGUUCACGACGGAUGUGUUCGUCCACCAUUACUUGACGGAUCCAUCGAGGUACCAAAUGAAUGUAUUCAUGUGCGCCAGCCCCAGUUUGUUAACCACAAGCUUCCAGAACCUCAAGGGUUCCACCUAUCCUCCGGCGCCGCCGCACUGGAGUCCACGUAAAAUCUCACUGGAGGACCGGACUGCUCCGGACGCGGGUGAGAUCUACCCUCUCCCUUCACGCGCAGAGUUGUGCAUGGAGGAUUCAACACAACAGGUGCUAGAGGGCAAGGAGGAAGAGAUGGCGACCGCGGAAGCUUUGGCAGCAGCAGGAAGGCCGAGCGGGUUGGGAGGAACGAAGGAGGGGGUUACGGAUGAGUACAGGCGUAGGGAUGGGUUUGUUCACAGGUCGCAGGACGUGCGGGACCAAUUCGGAGGAGAUGAAGAGGAGUUUGGAGAUUAUCAUGGGCCCGAACAUGAUUUCGAGGACCAAUUUGCGGGGAUGAAGCUCCAUGGAAGGGAGGAGGAAGAGUUGGAUUUUUCAGCGGAAGUUGACGAUCUGAUUAAGGAUGUACAUUGGCUUGCCCUGUUCCGAGUCCAUGCUACGAAACCCUUUAGCCACGCUGUGCUCUUGUCUCAAAUGCGUAAUGCAUGGUCGGCGGCUCAAGAGGUGACGAGGAUAAUGGACGGAGGGCCAUGGCUGUUUAGGAGGGCACCGGUGGUGAUCCAGGAGUAUGAUGGAUUCUCAGACGUCAAAGGUUAUAGACUCAAUAAAAUUCCGGUAUGGGCGAGGGUGAAGGGGCUGCCGGAUGGGCUCACAAGAAGGAAAGAGCUAGCGGAGAAGGUUGCAGCUAAAGUGGGUGAUCCACCUUUCACCAUGAUAAUGAAUGAGGGGAGAAUCAACCCAGCUAGUACCCUGCGGGUGAGGGUUUAUGUGGAUGUCAAUAAUGAGUAUGGUGAUGGGAUACAUGAUCCAAACUCAUUUGAGUGGGGUGAGUGGCUGCUGUGGGAGCCUGAAGUACCUACAUCCCAAGGUGUAGGAGGACGAGGUAGAGGAGAUGGAGGUGGUAGGGGAAGAGGUUGGGAUGCAGGCAGGGGGGAUCGAGGAGGUAGAGGAGGGAGAGGCUCGAUGGGUGGUAGGGGGAGAGGGGAACCUGGAGCAGGGGUGCAACCCACUGGAUCGCAGCAAAUGGAUGUGGAGGGUCAGGGAGACGGUUUGGGAAGUUUAGGGGAAAGGGGAGCGAGGAAGAGGCUGGUUGAGGCGGAUGGCACUCUAAACGUUCGGGGGAAACAGCUCAAUCAUCUGGCUGGACGGGUAGCCGGUUCUGUCAUGCUGAUCGAAGGGGGUUCUCAAGCGGCAAGCACAAGUGCUGUGAUAUCCACCCCGGAGAAGGUCCCCAUUGUGAAGAGGAGGCGUGAGGAUGGAGAAGAAGGUGCUUUAGUAGAUCAAACAAUAGAGGCGGCCUCCCUUGAGGAGGGCCGCCGGGCCUGA
rnacentral:rRNA from 1 species